GACGAACGCUGGCGGCUUGCCUAAUACAUGCAAGUCGAGCGCAGAAGGGUGGUACUUGUACCAACUCGAUGAGCAGCGAACGGGUGAGUAACGCGUGGGUAAUCUGCCUUUGAGCGUGGGACAACAUUGGGAAACCAAUGCUAAUACCGCAUAAAAACUUUAAACACAAGGUUUAAGUUUGAAAGAUGCAAUUGCAUCACUCAAUGAUGAUCCCUCGUUGUAUUAGCUAGUUGGUGAGGUAAAGGCUCAACAAGGCCAUGAUACCUAGCCGACCUGAGAGGGUGGUCCGCCAAAUUGGGAACGAGACACGGCUCCAGCUCCCACCGGAAGCAGCAGUAGGGAAACUUCGGGCAGGGAGGAAAGGCUGAACGAGCCACGCCGGGGGAGUGAAGAAGGUUUUCGGGUCGGAAAAAUCUGUUGGUAGAGAAGAAAGUUGGUGAGAGUGGAAAGCUCAUCAAGUGACGGUACCUACACAGAAAGGGACGGCUAACUACGUG
rnacentral:rRNA from 1 species